GGGUUGUGAGGUUAAGCGACUAAGCGUACACGGUGGAUGCCCUGGCAGUCAGAGGCGAUGAAGGACGUGCUAAUCUGCGAUAAGCGUCGGUAAGGUGAUAUGAACCGUUAUAACCGGCGAUUUCCGAAUGGGGAAACCCAGUGUGAUUCGUCACACUAUCAUUAACUGAAUCCAUAGGUUAAUGAGGCGAACCGGGGGAACUGAAACAUCUAAGUACCCCGAGGAAAAGAAAUCAACCGAGAUUCCCCCAGUAGCGGCGAGCGAACGGGGAGCAGCCCAGAGCCUGAAUCAGUGUGUGUGUUAGUGGAAGCGUCUGGAAAGGCGUGCGAUACAGGGUGACAGCCCCGUACACAAAAAUGCACAUAUUGUGAGCUCGAUGAGUAGGGCGGGACACGUGGUAUCCUGUCUGAAUAUGGGGGGACCAUCCUCCAAGGCUAAAUACUCCUGACUGACCGAUAGUGAACCAGUACCGUGAGGGAAAGGCGAAAAGAACCCCGGCGAGGGGAGUGAAAAAGAACCUGAAACCGUGUACGUACAAGCAGUGGGAGCACGCUUAGGCGUGUGACUGCGUACCUUUUGUAUAAUGGGUCAGCGACUUAUAUUCUGUAGCAAGGUUAACCGAAUAGGGGAGCCGAAGGGAAACCGAGUCUUAACUGGGCGUUAAGUUGCAGGGUAUAGACCCGAAACCCGGUGAUCUAGCCAUGGGCAGGUUGAAGGUUGGGUAACACUAACUGGAGGACCGAACCGACUAAUGUUGAAAAAUUAGCGGAUGACUUGUGGCUGGGGGUGAAAGGCCAAUCAAACCGGGAGAUAGCUGGUUCUCCCCGAAAGCUAUUUAGGUAGCGCCUCGUGAAUUCAUCUCCGGGGGUAGAGCACUGUUUCGGCAAGGGGGUCAUCCCGACUUACCAACCCGAUGCAAACUGCGAAUACCGGAGAAUGUUAUCACGGGAGACACACGGCGGGUGCUAACGUCCGUCGUGAAGAGGGAAACAACCCAGACCGCCAGCUAAGGUCCCAAAGUCAUGGUUAAGUGGGAAACGAUGUGGGAAGGCCCAGACAGCCAGGAUGUUGGCUUAGAAGCAGCCAUCAUUUAAAGAAAGCGUAAUAGCUCACUGGUCGAGUCGGCCUGCGCGGAAGAUGUAACGGGGCUAAACCAUGCACCGAAGCUGCGGCAGCGACGCUUAUGCGUUGUUGGGUAGGGGAGCGUUCUGUAAGCCUGUGAAGGUGUACUGUGAGGUAUGCUGGAGGUAUCAGAAGUGCGAAUGCUGACAUAAGUAACGAUAAAGCGGGUGAAAAGCCCGCUCGCCGGAAGACCAAGGGUUCCUGUCCAACGUUAAUCGGGGCAGGGUGAGUCGACCCCUAAGGCGAGGCCGAAAGGCGUAGUCGAUGGGAAACAGGUUAAUAUUCCUGUACUUGGUGUUACUGCGAAGGGGGGACGGAGAAGGCUAUGUUGGCCGGGCGACGGUUGUCCCGGUUUAAGCGUGUAGGCUGGUUUUCCAGGCAAAUCCGGAAAAUCAAGGCUGAGGCGUGAUGACGAGGCACUACGGUGCUGAAGCAACAAAUGCCCUGCUUCCAGGAAAAGCCUCUAAGCAUCAGGUAACAUCAAAUCGUACCCCAAACCGACACAGGUGGUCAGGUAGAGAAUACCAAGGCGCUUGAGAGAACUCGGGUGAAGGAACUAGGCAAAAUGGUGCCGUAACUUCGGGAGAAGGCACGCUGAUAUGUAGGUGAAGCGACUUGCUCGUGGAGCUGAAAUCAGUCGAAGAUACCAGCUGGCUGCAACUGUUUAUUAAAAACACAGCACUGUGCAAACACGAAAGUGGACGUAUACGGUGUGACGCCUGCCCGGUGCCGGAAGGUUAAUUGAUGGGGUCAGCGCAAGCGAAGCUCUUGAUCGAAGCCCCGGUAAACGGCGGCCGUAACUAUAACGGUCCUAAGGUAGCGAAAUUCCUUGUCGGGUAAGUUCCGACCUGCACGAAUGGCGUAAUGAUGGCCAGGCUGUCUCCACCCGAGACUCAGUGAAAUUGAACUCGCUGUGAAGAUGCAGUGUACCCGCGGCAAGACGGAAAGACCCCGUGAACCUUUACUAUAGCUUGACACUGAACAUUGAGCCUUGAUGUGUAGGAUAGGUGGGAGGCUUUGAAGUGUGGACGCCAGUCUGCAUGGAGCCGACCUUGAAAUACCACCCUUUAAUGUUUGAUGUUCUAACGUUGACCCGUGAUCCGGGUUGCGGACAGUGUCUGGUGGGUAGUUUGACUGGGGCGGUCUCCUCCUAAAGAGUAACGGAGGAGCACGAAGGUUGGCUAAUCCUGGUCGGACAUCAGGAGGUUAGUGCAAUGGCAUAAGCCAGCUUGACUGCGAGCGUGACGGCGCGAGCAGGUGCGAAAGCAGGUCAUAGUGAUCCGGUGGUUCUGAAUGGAAGGGCCAUCGCUCAACGGAUAAAAGGUACUCCGGGGAUAACAGGCUGAUACCGCCCAAGAGUUCAUAUCGACGGCGGUGUUUGGCACCUCGAUGUCGGCUCAUCACAUCCUGGGGCUGAAGUAGGUCCCAAGGGUAUGGCUGUUCGCCAUUUAAAGUGGUACGCGAGCUGGGUUUAGAACGUCGUGAGACAGUUCGGUCCCUAUCUGCCGUGGGCGCUGGAGAACUGAGGGGGGCUGCUCCUAGUACGAGAGGACCGGAGUGGACGCAUCACUGGUGUUCGGGUUGUCAUGCCAAUGGCACUGCCCGGUAGCUAAAUGCGGAAGAGAUAAGUGCUGAAAGCAUCUAAGCACGAAACUUGCCCCGAGAUGAGUUCUCCCUGACCCUUUAAGGGUCCUGAAGGAACGUUGAAGACGACGACGUUGAUAGGCCGGGUGUGUAAGCGCAGCGAUGCGUUGAGCUAACCGGUACUAAUGAACCGUGAGGCUUAACCUUACAACGCCGAAGCUGUU
rnacentral:rRNA from 1 species